rnacentral:lncRNA from 1 species
CCUAAGCCUAGACCCAGGCAAACUGACCAGCAGGAGCGCUUCCUCGUCCCUGCUGUCAACCGACAACCACCGCCGUCAUCACCUCAGGCGGCCGGCCCGUCCGACCAAACAUGAGCGCUGCGGCUCGAGAUCAGCCCAACUAGCCCAGCCUGUAACAGAACCCUGAAAAAACAAUCCCCUGCCAAGACCGGCUGGAAAGUGAUAGAAACCCCAAGCGGUCACACGUUAAUGGCCUAUGAGCAACCUCAAACAGCAGCUAAAACCGCCUCCAAACCAUCGCUGCAACAACAACCGUAGCUAUAAUCCAAACGACGAUCUCCGCCGCUACACCCGAUUCAAAACCUGACGACCUCGAUCCCAAACCGCCGCCGCUAGACCCUUCUCCUUUCGGCCUCUCCCGACGAUGAGAGAACCCGCCUGCUAGAGCCGAUGAUCAGAUCCUCACAGGCUGGACCGAAAACCCCCAACACGGUUUGAGAAAAACCCCUCGCCGUACCCACAAUCACCCAGAGAUCCCUCCCUAGAUCGCCGUCAUCCACGAUCGCCGCCUUGGUUGAAGGAAAGACACCGUCACCAGUCGAAAGCUAGGUUUCGAAAACGAAGAUCGCUCCGAGAAGCUCGG